UAAAGUCACGCCCCUCAAUCGUCUAUCUUAGAAAAUGGCGUUAUAAUUCCAGGUUAAUUCGUUGGAAAUCUGCUAUCGAAGCAUAAAUGAUUAAAUGUUCAAUGGUAACAAAAUCUAACAAAGAUUUUAUUGUAAAAUAGAUGCUGUGUAGUGAGAUGCUAUGAUAUAUUAUCCAAGGGCAUGACACGACAUAGCCAAAAAGUCAAAGUCAUGUUAAAACUGCAAAAGAACGAAAGCGUACCGUUUUUCAAUCUCGCUGCACGAAUUUGCUAAUAGAUUUUCUCCUUGUUAGGUAUUGAUGAGGUAAAUGAAGAUCUAAACUGAAUUGGGACAAAGUAGUUAUGAUGGUAAGCUACUGAUUUUGAAGUUGAAAACUUUUAAGGUCGCACUUCAACUUUUGAGGGGCAAUAGACUUUUCCAACUUUUAAUCCACAAAAAUGUGUAGACAAAAAAGGUUGAGUCACCUUGGAAUUUUUGAAUAUUGACAACAGAUGUGAGAUUUUUAAAAUGGAGAUUUGGUAUUUUCCAAAGAAAAGACUCAUGGAUUAGCACAUUUUCUUUAGUUUACUUACUCAUGGAUUCAGAAAUGAGUUAUGCAGCCAUGGAUUCAACUUCAAGAGAAAUCUUCCAGUAAGUCCAAGUGAAUUCCAAUUCAGUUCCUGCAUCAACAAACUAAAGGUUUUGCUGUGAUGUGAACCAAAUGUCAUUGGAAAGAUUCGGGAAAAUAUGUUAAAGG